rnacentral:rRNA from 1 species
CCCUACGGGACGCAGCAGUAGGGAAUAUUGCUCAAUGGGGGAAACCCUGAAGCAGCAACGCCGCGUGGGCGAAGAAGUAUUUCGGUAUGUAAAGCCCUAUCAGCAGGGAAGAAGAAAUGACGGUACCUGAGUAAGAAGCACCGGCUAAAUACGUGCCAGCAGCCGCGGUAAUACGUAUGGUGCAAGCGUUAUCCGGAUUUACUGGGUGUAAGGGAGCGCAGGCGGCACGGCAAGCCUGAUGUGAAAGCCCGCGGCCCAACCGCGGGACUGCAUUGGGAACUACCGGGCUGGAGUGCCGGAGAGGU